AGUGAACGCUGGCGGCGUGCCUAAUACAUGCAAGUCGAACGGAGAUUAAGUAGCUUGCUAUUUAAUCUUAGUGGCGCACGGGUGAGUAAUAUAUAGCUAACUUGCCCAUUACUAAGGGACAACAGUUGGAAACGACUGCUAAUACCUUAUACUCCGUAUCUAUAUAAGUAGAUACGGGAAAGUUUUUCGGUAAUGGAUAGGGCUACAUCGUAUCAGCUAGUUGGUAAGGUAAUGGCUUACCAAGGCUAUGGCGCGUAACUGGUCUGAGAGGAUGAUCAGUCACACUGGAACUGAGACACGGUCCAGACUCCUACGGGAGGCAGCAGUAGGGAAUAUUGCUCAAUGGGGGAAACCCUGAAGCAGCAACGCCGCGUGGAGGAUGACACUUUUCGGAGCGUAAACUCCUUUUCUUGGGAAAGAAUUAUGACGGUACCCAAGGAAUAAGCACCGGCUAACUCCGUG
rnacentral:rRNA from 1 species